GUGGCAUUUUCACUUAGAGACUGGAACAAUGGGAGCUCUGCGGGCCUUGCUUGUUUGCGUGCUGACUGUGUGGUUUACCAAAGGCUCUGGUUUGCCAGUUGGAGGCACAACAGAAAUCAGGAUGAUGAGCUGCAGAGAGUGAGAGAGUUUUUGUUGCAACAAGAUGCUGAUGGAGACUAUAACACGACGGGCCUCACCAAUGUGACGAACACGACGGGCCUCACCAAUGUGACGGCCACGACCCCAGCGCCGUCUCCGGCCACGACGGGCCUCACCAAUGUGACGGCCACGACCCCAGCGCCGUCUCCGGCCACGACGGCCUCACCAAUGUGACGGCCACGACCCCAGCGCCGUCUCCGGCCACGACGGGCCUCACCAUGUGACGGCCACGACCCCAGCGCCGUCUCCGGCCACGACGGGCCUCACCAAUGUGACGGCCACGACCCCAGCGCCGUCUCCGGCCACGAC